GCCGAGAUAGCUCAGUCGGUAGAGCA
rnacentral:tRNA from 1 species